AGAAGUCUUUAGCAGGCACUAACACUUUGCUUUGCUAGUUUCUUGAAGCUAAUAACAGAGACAAGCAUAUGGCUAAGUCUCUGCCAUUUCUUACAAGGCCUCCAAACAAAGUCUUCUCUUUUAUUGCUCUCUGUCCCCAGCCCUUUAAAAUUCGACCGUUGGAUCCUCCUCGAUUUAGAUUUCCCGCCUCCACUCUCAAAUUCCUCGAAACCCAUUAUUCUUCAUCUCUCAAUUUAACAACACACUUCAACAACAAGAAGGAUGACUCCAAUGAAAAUUCCUUCAAACCUGACAAAUUCUACGCGUCAUUAAUCGAUGAUUCGAUACACAAAACCCACUUGAACCAAAUCUAUGCUAAGUUAUUAGUAACGGGGCUGCAAUAUGGUGGUUUCUUGAUAGCAAAAUUGGUUAACAAGGCUUCGAAUAUAGGAGAAGUUAGCUGUGCACGUAAGUUGUUUGAUAAAUUUCCUGACCCAGACGUGUUUUUGUGGAAUGCGAUUGUUAGGUGUUAUUCUAGGCAUGGUUUCUUUGGUCAUGCUAUUGAAAUGUAUGCAAGAAUGCAAGUUGCGUGUGUUAGUCCUGAUGGGUUCAGUUUUCCUUGUGUUCUCAAAGCUUGCAGUGCCUUGCCGGCGCUUGAAAUGGGGAGGAGGGUACAUGGGCAGAUAUUUAGACAUGGGUUUGAAUCGGAUGUGUUUGUGCAGAACGGUCUUGUGGCAUUGUAUGCAAAAUGUGGAGAGAUUGUGCGAGCUAAUGCUGUUUUUGGUAGGCUAGUUGAUAGGACUAUUGUUUCUUGGACCUCGAUUAUUUCUGGGUAUGCGCAGAAUGGACAGCCUAUUGAAGCCUUGCGGAUUUUUAGUGAAAUGAGGAAAACAAAUGUGAGACCAGAUUGGAUAGCGCUUGUGAGCGUUCUUAGAGCAUAUACAGAUGUAGAGGAUUUUGAACAUGGGAAAUCUAUUCAUGGUUGCGUGAUUAAAAUGGGACUUGAAUGUGAAUUUGAUUUGCUCAUUUCUCUUACCUCUUUGUAUGCAAAAUGUGGGCACGUUAUGGUUGCUAGAUUAUUUUUUAACCAGGUGGAGAAUCCAAGUUUGAUAUUUUGGAAUGCAAUGAUUUCUGGUUAUAUGAAAAAUGGGUAUGCCGAGGAAGCUAUUGAACUGUUCCGUCUAAUGAAAAGUAAAAAUAUAAGACCAGAUUCUAUUACUGUGACUUCUAGCAUUGCAGCUUGUGCACAAAUAGGUUCUCUUGAAUUAGCAAGAUGGAUGGAUGAGUAUAUCAGCAUGAGUGAGUUUAGAAAUGAUGUGAUUGUCAAUACUUCCCUCAUUGACAUGUAUGCAAAAUGUGGAAGUGUAGAUAUGGCUCGCUUUGUUUUUGACAGAAUACCAGAUAAAGAUGUUGUUGUGUGGAGUGUGAUGAUGGUGGGAUAUGGAUUACAUGGGCAAGGUCGGGAAUCUAUCAUUCUUUUUCAUGCAAUGAGGCAAGCUGGGGUGCCCCCAAAUGAUGUCACCUUUGUUGGGCUCCUCACAGCGUGCAAAAAUUCAGGUCUUGUAGAAGAAGGUUGGGACCUCUUCCACCGCAUGAGAGAUUAUGGGAUUGAACCAAGGCACCAACACUAUGCAUGUGUGGUGGAUCUUCUUGGGCGUGCAGGCCAUUUAGAUCGAGCUUAUAAUUUUGUCAUGAACAUGCCAAUUGAACCAGGUGUAAGUGUGUGGGGAGCCCUUUUGAGUGCAUGCAAGAUCCAUCGCCAUGUGACACUAGGGGAGUAUGCAGCUGAACGACUUUUCUCAUUAGAUCCAUACAACACGGGGCAUUGUGUUCAGCUGUCAAACCUCUAUGCUUCUUCUCGCUUAUGGGAUUGUGUUGCAAAGGUACGGGUGUUAAUGAGGGAGAAAGGACUUACUAAGCACCUUGGUUAUAGUGUGAUUGAGAUCAAUGGAAAGCUCCAUGCAUUUCAGGCUGGAGAUAAGACGCAUCCAAGAUCCAAAGAGAUUUUUGUGGAAAUUGAGGAUUUAGAGAGAAGAUUAAAGGAAGCUGGAUUUGUCCCCCAUACAGAAUCUGUCCUGCAUGAUUUGAAUUAUGAGGAAACAGAGGAGACACUAUGUAAUCAUAGUGAAAGACUAGCGAUUGCUUAUGGCCUCAUCAGUACUCCCCCUGGAACAACCCUUAGGAUAUCAAAGAAUCUUCGGGCAUGCGACAACUGUCAUGCUGCAAUCAAGCUCAUCUCAAAGCUGGUAAGUAGGGAGAUAGUUGUCAGGGAUGCAAUUCGUUUCCAUCAUUUUAAGGAUGGAGCUUGUUCCUGUGGAGAUUAUUGGUGACAAGAAUGGCUAAAUCUUGAGCUUAUCCCAGAAGCUUGGUUAGUGAUUUCCCCCUCCUUUCUUCAUACUGUCUCGGAAGGUGGUUCCCACUUAUGCUCCAUUUGACCGAUAUCACAGUAUCAAAUCCCACCACUCUCUUCCACCUUAUGUGGAACUGUGUUUGUCUGAUACUAUGGUUAGUGUUUUUAACACCUGAUAUAUGGUUACUAAUUUACGUGUUUUGUAUAACUGCUUGUUCACAUUUGUUUUUGUCAUACGCUUCAAGUAGCAAUAGAAAGGGCGGGAAGAAAUCAAUUCAACUCUCUGCCAAAAAGAAGUGUUUUCACAAGGUGCAGCUACACGCAGAUGAAUCGAGCUCCUAUAUUCAUUAUUUGCACGUAGGAAAUCCAGUAUUUAAUGCUAAUAAGACCUGGAGGGUUGGUAAAUUCUCUGGGUUGGGUGCUCAUGGUGGGAGGUACUGGUACUUGGAAAAGUGGAUGACAUGAUAACAAGAAAUAAGGAGCGGCUGCAGGGAAAUAAAGUUCCAAAGAGAUAUGGUAACUUUGCUUCAUUUGGCUUCUAUGAGUGUUUCCCUACUCGUAUGUUUUAAGUUUUUUGACUUGGAUCUCUAAGAAGUUCAGUGGUCGAGGAAAGAGGAGGGAAAUUAAGAGUUUACUGAGGGAGUAAAGUGUUGUUUUUCAAACUGUCUCUAUGAUAUGAUUCAAAGCUUGUGGUGGUUGUUGCUUAACUUACAAAAUAGAUAUGGGGUCGGCAAAAUAGAGAGUGGAGGGCUAUUCUUGUUUGCGGCUUGCCUGGGGAUGUUACAUGCAUACAGAGUUCGUUUGAUGUGCGGCGGUGUAACAUUAUUCCAUGAAUAAUAAAUAUGAAACUUUAU